ensembl:lncRNA
UAAAAAACACAUUAUUCAAAACUAGUCAGAAUUAUUUAAAAAACUCAAGUCAUUUUAACUCAUUUCGAUCUUUGUUGCAGUGUUCCUCCCACUGUCUGUCGUCUUGUUAAUUCUGCACUAAUGCGUGUCUCACAAUCUGAACCGGUGCAAUGUUUUCACGCUCAAAAAGAAAAAAAUAGUUCCUCUGCAUCGUAUUUAUCUACCUUUUAUUUCUCAGAUGGAAGAUUGUUGUUUUUUUAUAUAUAUAAAUAUAUAUUCUGUUGAUAUAAUUGUUAGUAUUGAUAUUACUACUGUCCAUGUUUAGCUUCUUCCUUGUUUCAGACUUAAAGGGACGGUUUGGAAAGUUUUGAAUUGGUUUCCGAAAUCCGAUUUUUGGUAUUUUCUGUCUGUUUUUUCUUCUAGCUUUACAAUAAUGUGACAGUUUUUCUAUUUAAUGUUUUUUGCGCAAUAAUUGGACUAGCAAAAUAUGCUAUCAGCGACACUGCUAAUCGCUAACGUUACCACAUACACAGUUUUAAAGUAUAUUGUUUUUUUUGUCUGGACAACGGUUUAUUUUGUAAUGCAAACGGCAUCAACUCGCACGGCUAAGCUAACACAAGAUGCAGCCUUUAGCUAUUCAAAAGAACCCGCUCAAAACUGCCACCGUCCCUUUAAAAUCUCCAUAAAUGCUAUUCUUUGGCAAAAAGUUGUUGAUAAUAUUUUUGUUUAUGUUCUGCUCACAGUUAGCAUGGUUAUGAUUACUCUAAUUAUUAGCCUAUGAAUCGGCAGUUUUAUUUUUUAGAAACUGUAAGUCUCUGCGUUUUUAGCGUUGUUUUCGUCGCCUUGUCUCUCUCAGAUGGCUGUAUGAAUGUAAAAGAUGUGACAAAAAUGUUAAGAGUUGGAUGGUGUUGUCCGAUACUGUGGUUAACCCUAUCUCAACUAGACCAAAAUUCACAAUAUAGAGAAUUAUAUUGGUUACAAAAAUAUGUUUAUAUAAAUCGUCUUUCUGUACAGUAUUUUUCCUACACAUUUAUGUAUUUUAAAGGCACAACAGAUCAGAACAGAAAAAAUAUAAUAGAAAAUACUAUAGCAGUACAUAUAGAGGUAUUUUAGUAUUCUGUCUAUAUACUUAGCUUAGUUUUACACAAAAAUAAACUUUCUGGGGCAUUAAAACAUGUACUCAUACGACCACCCUCACGCACAAUAGCGUAAACUUUAAUCCGGCAAAUGGGUAAAGGAAGAGGGUAAGAAUGUACCUGUUGUACGGAAACCCUAAGCUGCCAAAAAAAAAAGAAACUUGCUAAUGCUAAAAUAAAUGCUAAUUAUCUUAUCACUGAGAUAUUUAUACAAUGAAUUCUGAGUUUUGUUCCUUUGAGGUUGCCAUACGAAGCUAAUUUUAGCAGAACUUAAGAGAUUGUUGUUCAUUUUGUAUCUACGGUGGUCACAUAACAUCAAAA